rnacentral:miRNA from 1 species
AAGCCCUUACCCAUCUCUCUGA